AGUGAACGCUGGCGGUAGGCCUAACACAUGCAAGUCGAACGGCAGCACAGUAAGAGCUUGCUCUUACGGGUGGCGAGUGGCGGACGGGUGAGGAAUACAUCGGAAUCUACUUUUUCGUGGGGGAUAACGUAGGGAAACUUACGCUAAUACCGCAUACGACCUACGGGUGAAAGCAGGGGAUCUUCGGACCUUGCGCGAUUGAAUGAGCCGGUGUCGGAUUAGCUAGUUGGCGGGGUAAAGGCCCACCAAGGCGACGAUCCGUAGCUGGUCUGAGAGGAUGAUCAGCCACACUGGAACUGAGACACGGUCCAGACUCCUACGGGAGGCAGCAGUGGGGAAUAUUGGACAAUGGGCGAAAGCCUGAUCCAGCUAUACCGCGUGGGUGAAGAAGGCCUUCGGGUUGUAAAGCCCUUUUGUUGGGAAAGAAAAGCAGCAGGUUAAUACCCCGCUGUUCUGACGGUACCCAAAGAAUAAGCACCGGCUAACUUCGUG
rnacentral:rRNA from 1 species